UGCCAGCCGCCGCGGUAAUACGAAGGGUGCUAGCGUUGUUCGGAAUUACUGGGCGUAAGGCGUACGUAGGCGGAUCAGAAAGUAUAGGGUGAAAUCCCGGGGCUCAACCUGGGAAUUGCAUUCGAUACUGCUUAGCUAGAGUAUGAGAGAGGGUAGUGGAAUUCCGGGUGUAGCGGUGAAAUGCGUAGAUAUUCGGAGGAACACCAGUGGCGAAGGCGGCUUUCUGGACCGAUACUGACGCUGAGACGCGAAAGCGUGGGGAGCAAACAGGAUUAGAUA
rnacentral:rRNA from 1 species